rnacentral:lncRNA from 1 species
CUUAUGAAUCACAGUAAAUAAAUAUACACAAUAAGAUGGACAGGAAACAUGGAGAGGGAAAAGCAGAACUACUUUCCUUUCUGAGAAAACACGACUACGUGGAGAACAGGUUCUGUAUAAGUCACGCUACACAAAGGGCCUUUGUCUGUGGACCACGUUGUACAACGGAGAGAAAAUUUUCGCAAAGGGUCCUCGUUCUACAUUUUUUACGUCGGCUUGUGAAGAUCAAUGUCUGUUCUGCUAAGUAUGAAAAUUCCUUGUUUCGGCAGUGGUGCUUCAUAAAGGGUUGCAGUGAGCCGGAGCCUAUCCUGGAGACAGUCGGGGAACACCAGUCCAUCACAGGGCUACAGGGUAUAAUCGGGAUGCUGCAGGUGUCGCUAUGAAAAUGGAAAAGCCCCCUUGAAGAGAGGCUGAGAGCCGCACUGAACAGCAUUCUGGGAAAUGCAGUCCAGUGACGGGAUGCUGCAGUUUCUCAGGGUAAUACAGCAGAGUGCGAGUUAAACUGGCAACCCACAGGUUAUAAAUCCAUGUCCAGAACUUCUCCAUACUAUGGUAUAUUCUGGCAUGUUUAGCUGUUAAGGGAAAAAUGGGCAAUGUGCUACAUAUCACUGGAAUGAAACCAGAAGGUGGCCAGUUCAAAUAACUAUUGUUGGCCUGCUUUGUUACGGUAUCUGUUUUAGUAAAAUAUGCAGCUGGAUAAGGCAG